ACAGCAGGUGGAGGUUGCGGCCCAACCGGAACAGCAGGUGGCGGUUGCGGCCCAACCGGAACAGCAGGUGCAGGUUGCGGCCCAACCGGAGAAGCAGGUGGCGGUUGCGGCCCAACCGGAACAGCAGGUGGAGGUUGCAGCCCAACCGGAGAAGCAGGUGGCGGUUGCGGCCCAACCGGAACAGCAGGUGGAGGUUGCGGCCCAACCGGAACAGCAGGUGGAGGUUGCGGUCCAACCGGAACGGAGGUCGGCCAGACCCCCGACAGGAGACCUGGA